AGUGAACGCUGGCGGUAGGCCUAACACAUGCAAGUCGAACGGCAGCACAGGAGAGCUUGCUCUCUGGGUGGCGAGUGGCGGACGGGUGAGGAAUACAUCGGACUCUACUUUUUCGUGGGGGAUAACGUAGGGAAACUUACGCUAAUACCGCAUACGACCUACGGGGGAAAGCAGGGGAUCUUCGGACCUUGCGCGAUUGAAUGAGCCGAUGUCGGAUUAGCUAGUUGGCGGGGUAAAGGCCCACCAAGGCGACGAUCCGGAGCUGGUCUGAGAGGAUGAUCAGCCACACUGGAACUGAGACACGGUCCAGACUCCUACGGGAGGCAGCAGUGGGGAAUAUUGGACAAUGGGCGCAAGCCUGAUCCAGCCAUACCGCGUGGGUGAAGAAGGCCUUCGGGUUGUAAAGCCCUUUUGUUGGGAAAGAAAUCCAGCUGGCUAAUACCCGGUUGGGAUGACGGUACCCAAAGAAUAAGCACCGGCUAACUUCGUGCCAGCCGCCGCCGUAAGAC
rnacentral:rRNA from 1 species